UCUCUCCCCUCCCUCCUUGGGCCGGUCUUAUUCCUGGACCUUGAGCCCUAUCUUCACGGCCUUGUGUUUCACGUAGGAAGCAGGAGGAGCAGAGGAGACAGAGUCCGCUUAGGUUCCUUGAUGAGUUUUCCCUGUGCCGUCAUCUACUUUGUAUAAGGAAACAGCAGACUCGUUCUCUUCUCUCGGCCUUUCUUCUGCAUCUGUUGGUCUUUUUUAAACCCACCUGGGCCCCCUCGAUCCUGGAGGACCGAGGAUGGUUGCUCAGAGGCAGAGCUCGGACAACGGCAUCACCCACGACAGGCACAAGCCGGCCGGGACGCCCCCACCCUGGCCCUCCCGACCCCGGUGUCUCCGCGCCGCUCGCCAGGCUACCAGGGCCAGACGCUGCUGGUCCUGCCAGCCGCCUCGAGGAGGCGUGAGAGGCAGCGUGGGCACCCGUGUAUUUUUAGUAAGUAGGGCUGAUUUGUUCCAGUCUCAGUCUUAGGGAGCCGUAACGCCAGACUGUCUAAGAACACUGCCUGGGACGUGAUCUCCGUGAACGGAGGAGCAAAGAUGGAGCUGGAGAUGCGGCCACACCCAGAAGAAGCCCUCGCGCGCCGUCACAUCUCCCAGGAGCAGAGUCUGAGCGCAGAUGCCAGGGCGAGGAGGUGGCGAUGCGCGGAGCAGAAAGCGCGGCUACCCUGUGAGGGGUGGAGACGUGGGGAGAGGCGGGUCAGUCCCCAGGGCAACCAGAGGACCUGGGAUGUGAUGGAAACUGCCUCCACGGAGGGUCAAGGGCGGGCCAAGCUUUCACACCCCACGCCCACCAGCCAUGUCACAGGGCUGGCCCCAGGGCAGACGGGAAUUGAGGCUGACCAUUUGCUGGCAUUUUCCCCUGCCAAGCACUGGGAGAGGGGCUCUGCCAUCUGAGGGCAAUCCCCUCCUCAAAGAUGCAGGUGCCAGCUGGUGGGAGUUGGCGGGCAGCAUGGGUACCGAGGGGACCCCAGGGAACCCGCUGUCUGUGGACUCAGGGCACGCCCCCUCACAGGGCAUGAUCACACCUGCUCCAAGACCCACCUGGGGAACCAGAGGCUGACAGAAGGGGCCUUUGGGGCCAGCCUCAGAAGGGCAUAGCGCAGAGAUGUUUGUAGUUCCCAGAGUUUAGUUUCAUCAGCGCCUUGGCUUUUAUUCAUCAGAAGCACGAUCCUGAAGACCCUCAUCUGAUCUGAGUCUGCCAUCGCAGAGCCGUGUCUUGGAGCUUCCAGACCACAGGCCCUGCUUCCGAAACACUGUCCACCACAGAGAGUCAACCCAGGGCCCAGUGUGAAGUGUGGGGCAAGUUGGCUCUACCCCUGGGACUUGGGGGGCUGCGUCAUGAAGGGGGCCAUCCGAUUCGGUCCAGAUCUGGAGUCCCAGCCUCACAGGAGUGUUGCCUGUGUCCCCUCUCCCCUCCCGCCUCCCCGUGGGCCCCUGUGGGACACGGCGCCCUCCGGCCGAUCGCCCCGGCAACACGGCAUUGUCGCUGCCUGACCAGCGCCUCAGGGCUCAUCUCUGUGUCCUCAGUCCCCGCAGUGACCCCGGAACACAGCAGGCGCUCUCCAGAUGCUUAGUGAGCAAAUGUGGCAAGUAUCCUAGAAACCCAGAGCUCUUACGUGUUGCUCCAGUGAUUGCCCGCCUCCCAUCGCCCCCCUACUCUCUGCUCCUUGAAGACAGAGCAGGGUCAGGGACCCGCAAACAGCCGGCAGGACCUCCCUGCAAUGAAACACCGCUCUGCGUUGAAAAGCACAAAGCACUGAUUCACACAACAAAUGGGUGAACCUCACACACAUUUUUCCAAGGAUAAGAUACCAGAACCAAAAGGUUACACGCUGUAUGGUUACACUCAUAAGCUAUUCCAGAAAAGCAAAGCCAACUGGGAAAAACAGAUCGCUGAUGGCGGGAGGCUGGCUGGUGCAGGAAUGGGUGGGCUCUUCACUCCCCCUUCUGCCCCCGGGCAGCCCUUGAUGGUCCGCUGCCACAAGCCUUCCCUUUUGGAGCUCUCAGGAUCAGGUCUUGGAAGGUUCCAGGAUCUGAGCAUGCACGCCCUCUCCCUGUGCCUCUCAGUUAAACCCCAUCUUCCGCACUUCUGACUUGCCUCACUUGGCCUUUCCGACAAUCCAAGAACUGCGAGGAGUAUUCACAAUUUCCCGGAGCGGUUCCUUGCUUCCCACUGCCGUGCAGGACCUGUCCACACCCAAGCUACGUUCGUGGGGCCCCUGCCUGAUGAGACUGCUGACCCAGGACACAGGGGUGGGCAGGGCCUUCAGGACACCUGGUCUGCCGUAAUCCUCACCUCCAGAUCCCCGCUCAGCUGCACUGGGCUCCUUCUGGUUCUGGGGCUUCCACCGCCUGCCAGUCUCCCCUGCUUCACUCCGGUGAAGACCUUUCCCCUGUAUCACCCGUCCCUUCUGGCCAGGGGUUGAAGGUGAACACAAGAGCCGUGUUGGAAACAGCGAAUUCCUCCCAAUAAGUGUUGGGGAGUUUCACAGGAUCCUGGCCCUUCCAGUAGCAUUUUGCGUCUCCUAAGCUCUGGCGUGAUAUGGAUCAUGUGAAAGACGGUCUCAGAGGACAUUUCGCUCACUCCAUCAGGUGAUGCGUGGACCUAACCCAAGUGGGUCAGGUGAGUUUCUUUGUGCUCUGAAGGGUGUGGCUGGGCAGGAGGUUCUGCCUUAGAUGAAUCUGGGUGGAAAGGAGCUGAUCACGGGCUGCAGAAGCCGUUGCUCACUGGUGGCCCUGGCAGGGACCCUCUCCGAGUGUUCCCAAGUUCCAUCCUCGUCCCCAAGACUAAGCUUUGCUCCCCCUUCCUGUUAAAUCCCAAACUCUGAUUUUCAGGAGAACUUGGCCUUGGGCAUAAUCCUGUUGGCAGGCUUGCUAUUUUUUACAAGGUUCACCCUAUUCUUAGUUACUUUUAAAAAUAAAAUUGUCAACAGCUUUUCCUUCCCCGGUAACAUUUCUGCCACUACCAAAGAUCUUAAUGAACUGUGCGUUCAGUUACAGGAAGCAGGGGACCGGGUGAGUGGGUGGGCCCAGCAAGACGUGGCGAGAAAGCUCCUGAGGAGAGACGAGAGCAUUUAUGGGAGAUGGUGUCAGCACGGAGAAGUCUGUGCCUCGGGGAAGCAUCUGAACGCAGCCGGCUUGUUAUCAGCCCUGACGGUUUUGGGGGAAAUGAUUCCAAAAGAGAACAGAACUAUUUCUGGGGAGAAAAACACCUAUUCUUACCCCAGUCCCAUAGAGGCAACUCUCAAGCUGAGUGUGAGGGAAUAAAGGUAUCUUGAGUCUUCAGUGGGUCUGGAUGAACCAGGGAAGAGCAGCAGGUGUUGAUGCACAGAGCUGUCCUGGGAACAGGGCUGGUCUCGCCGUCCGGCGGUAUCAUCCUGCAGUUAGGAGGGCAGCUCCUGACAGUUUCCUUCAAUCGUUAUGGGGACUUCUUGACCAAGCUGGUUGUCUUUUCUGAGUCUCACAUUUUCCUCACUUGACUAAAAGCGAUGACCCUGC